UUUGUUGCUGCUUCUAAUUCUGAUGGUAAUGGAAAUGCCUCGGGUAUUGUACCACGUGCAACAUGGACUGGUUCAACCAGUCUCUUGGGAAGCGGCAUCUUGACACUUUUCUGAUGAUUGAUCUUUGACCCUAUCUAUUUCGAUCAGUGCUUGUUAUGGUGUGUGGUGUUACUAGUGGUGAUCAUCGACAGGCUUUCUCUGAUCAAGGCCAAAUCGAAAUGUUUUUUUUUUUCAUUUUUUAAAUGAAUGAAAAUUAUGGAAAAAUACAAACAACAUUGAGUAUACAUAUUCUCACGACAGUAAAAGUUACGAGUACGUGUACUAUUAUGAUCAUCAAGAGCCCUACUCUAAUUAGCAUUUUUAUUACAAGUCAGUCAGGAGAGACAAUGUCGUGCCUGACUUGGAAAUUAUUGAUCAAGCUGAGAGUAAGCUUGGCAGGCGCACUGGAAAACAACCCCCUCGGUAUUUAUGACUCACUAGACAUGAAAAAUAAAAAUAAAAAAACCAGGAUAUUAUACACCAUGAUCUUGUCUAUCAAAAAAAUCAGAUAAUAAAACUAGGUUGACUAACAGGAUCAAUUGAUACAAAUAAUCAAGAAUAAUUUUUUGUUCAAGUCUACUGUGUGUGAACAUAGUGACCGCACAAACCAUUCACCAGUUCUAUGUAACACACAAGUUAAAAAUAAUAUUAAAAAAAAAAAAAUUAUCUGUAUUAAAUCAAGUUCAAUACACGAUGAACUUGUUUGUACAAUUUUUUUUUUUUUUUCUUCUUUAACGUCACGCAACUAUGGAUCAAUGAUUACAGUCGAAAAGAAAAAAUGAUAAAUGUACACGUGUGUUUUUUUUUUUCAAACAAAAACAAUUUAACUGUUAGUUUAUAUUAUUUUUUAUUCUAAAAUAGAUGUAUAUCUAUUUGGAUAUUAUUUGUUAAAAAUAAUACCAUGUGUUUUGGUGUAAACUAUAUGAUUUGUUUGCUUUUUUUUAUGAAUAUUAUUUAUCAUAUUUAAAUACUGCUGUUGAUCAGUUUAUAAAAAGAAAUUAGAAUAUUAUAUAUAGACAAUAAUAAUGAAAUGUAUCUAGCAGCCGGAAAUACAAAAUGUUGAAUGAAAAAAAUUACAUGAAUUCAGUGGGCAAGUGUCGAGUAACAUUCGUCAUGGUGUUGCAAAAAGCCGUCGACCUCGAAGGUAAUAUAAAUUUGUCUUGGAAAAAAAAAAAUAAAUAAAAUAAAAACAAAGUAACACGCAGGAUAGUGUAUAUAUAUAAAACUUUAUAUUGUCGUGAAAAAAGAAAAACUAGUUUACGUUUGAAUUAAUUCUUCAUCAAGUGUGUCACCAUCAUCAUCAUCAUAAACUUCGAGGCCUUAUUUUAAAGAAAAUUUUUCCAUUUUUUUUAACAUUAACAAAACAAUGCAUUUGCAACUGUUUCUUUUUUAAUAUCUAUUCUAAAAAAAAAAAUAAUUACAUGCAUAGAUAUUUUUUUUAUAUUAAUUGAAUAGAAAAAACAGUGUCUAUAAGAUAUUGUUUCUAAUGAUCCAUGAUAAAAUUACUUAAUAUAUUAUUUAAAAAUAAAUAUCAUUGUAUUAAUGGUAAUUUAAAACCAUAACCGGAUAAUUUUAUUUAUUAAACAAUGUUGUCUGUAGACACACCUUAUUAAUCGAUAAUAAUAAAAAAAUUUAUGCAUGUGUGGGGAGAGACUAUACUAAGUAUUAACAUUGAUGAUGAUGAUGAUGAAAUAUAAAAUGUCAUCAAUAC